GAUGAACGCUGACAGAAUGCUUAACACAUGCAAGUCAACUUGAACUUCGGUUUGGGUGGCGGACGGGUGAGUAACGCGUAAAGAACUUGCCUCACAGAUAGGGACAACAUUUGGAAACGAAUGCUAAUACCUGAUAUUAUGAUUAUAUGGCAUCGUAUAAUUAUGAAAGCUAUAUGCGCUGUGAGAGAGCUUUGCGUCCCAUUAGCUAGUUGCAGAGGUAACGGCUCACCAAGGCGAUGAUGGGUAGCCGGCCUGAGAGGGUGAUCGGCCACAAGGGGACUGAGACACGGCCCUUACUCCUACGGGAGGCAGCAGUGGGGAAUAUUGGACAAUGGACCAAGAGUCUGAUCCAGCAAUUCUGUGUGCACGAUGAAGUUUUUCGGAAUGUAAAGUGCUUUCAGUUGGGAAGAAAAAAAUGACGGUACCAACAGAAGAAGUGACGGCUAAAUACGUG
rnacentral:rRNA from 1 species